ensembl:lncRNA
GCUUGUUACAUGAGAAAAUAGUUUUGUUUACCUCAUGCAGGAGAUUUCCUACUUUGUUCUGUUUUGUGGGCUGGUAACUCGAAUUGUGACAAAGUAUUAUUAGCCUUUUAGAAAUGUAAAACUUAUUAUUUAUUUUUUUUUCGUUAAAUGUCGGUCUACACAACAGGUGAUUUGUUGACAAUUGAGACAUUACUGGUCACAUUAUGCACGGGUUAUUUUAUAGAAACUUUUAGGUUACAGCCUAUGGGCCAUUUGUUUUUUUUGGCCAUAAAAUAAAAAAUGCUUAACAGUAUCGGCCCUAACUUAAAUAUCAGUAUAUACCUAGUUAUUACUUUUUAGAAUUGGCGAGUUUCUGAUGGACUAAACCGUCUUUAGGUUUUCUUCAUUAAUUCAUUUAUUUAUCCAUCCAGCAGCUCCAAACCACCAAGUACUGAUGGCCAGACGUGUUUCUCGCCUUCAAGAAAAAGUAUGAAACCUUCUUCAGACUCUUCAUCUCAGUCUGCUUCACAGGUACAGUCUGCAUCUUCAUCUGAUGCAUCAUUAGUCUCAAAGACUACAGACACUGACCUUCAUGCCCAGACAGCUUCAAAAGAUGAGCUGAUUCAGGGCCAUGACACCCAUGCAGAGGCUGGCAUGUCAGGUCUUCAGGGCAACAACAGUCUCAGCCUUCAUAUUGGUGAUGGUCAUACAAGUCCACACAGGUUAACGGAAGAGUUCAGGUGCAGUGAAGGAGAAAGCAAAGAGUCAAAGCCAUCACACUUAGACAAGUUUAGCUCUGGAGAUAGACAGAGCGAUGACCGGAAUAGGGUUUUAGAGCGCCCACAAUUUUCUUCAACUGUGAAAGACGGGGACCGGUACAGACACUAUAGGGAAUACAACGAAAGAAGCCGGAGGUCUUAUGGUCAUGGCAAUCGUGAGAGUCGUCCCUUUAGAGAGCGUUCCACCAGUAGAGACCGGCAUCACAGAGAUCACUGGGACAGAUUCUCACAUCACCGUAGAGAGCACCACUAUUCCCAAAGAAGACCCAGAGAGGAACGCGAACGGAGUAGGGAUAGGAGAUUUGUGAAUGACUCUUAUCGUCCUUCUGGACACCAUAACCGGGAUGGAUCUUCCAGUCACAGCCAUCGUGGGGUGGAUGGUGGCUAUGGAAGGGUGUCCCAUACAGUGAAUGGUUCAAAAGUAAGACCCUCAUCUCCACGUUCUGUCAGCCCACUGCCCGGACAUUACAAGCGAAAACGCAGUCCAUCGGCUGAUGCCAGACAAAGUUCUGAUGAGUGCAGAGCGAAGAAAUACAAAAAGAAAAAGAGAAACAAAGAAAGGCACAGGCACUCAGAGAAGGACCCAUCUGAGGGCAUUGAGGAUAGUAGCUUCAAGAGACAUAAAAAGAAGAAGAAGAAGAAAAAGAAGAGGAGGGAGGAUGAGGAGAGGCCUCACACUAGGAGAGACUUCGCUCCGAGGCGGGAAGAGCAUGAUUCUAGAGCUAGGAAUGGUGCAGAGAAAGGAAGUCUGCACCACAGCUCUGAGUCCCUUCACAAUGUCCACCGAGACCAUAUGGAGGACCAGCAACAGCUCAGUGGACACAAAGCUAAUGGCCUGAGCUGUUACAGUGGAAGUGAGCUUGAGCAUACUGGGAUGUAUAAAGACCAAUACAAAUAUUUUGAUUAUUCUACCACUGUCAACGGCACAAAGACGCUCUCAAAUGGAAGUGGAGAUGUAUGUCACAGGACCCUUUCAGAUGUUGAAGUGAGUAUAAUGUAAUAAAAAUAUAUACAAUUAUGAAAUUCAAAAACUAAUUUGUUUUUCUUGCAAUAUACAUUCAUUUUGUAUGUAUGUUUUAUGGUUGUUGUAGUUGCACAACUCUGACUGUUCUCUGGUUUUCACAGAAAGCCACACAUCCUCACUAAAGGUAAGAAAUGUUUAUUUUAUUAAUUUUCUAAAAACAAAAUAAGCUCCGCUCUAAUCGUCCCCUCUCUCUUUAUUUGAAGACUCUGAAAACCACCCAUGCAAGCAUGUGAAAAACAAAAUCUACAGCUACAGUUCCUGACAUGGUGCUUAACAUUUAGAACAUACUGUAUUUUUACCACGAGAUGAAUUUUAAAGUUUU